UGAAUUGCAGGACACAUUGAGCAUCGACGAUCUGAACGCGAAUUGCGUCCUCGGGUUAAUCCCGGGACCGCGCCCGCCUCAGGGUCG
rnacentral:rRNA from 1 species